CGUGUAGGCGGUUGGUCAAGUCGGGUGUGAAAGCCUGGGGCUCAGCCCCAGAAGCGCAUCCGAAACUAGCCAGCUGGAGCGCGAUAGAGGAGGGUGGAAUUCCUGGUGUAGCGGUGAAAUGCGUAGAUAUCAGGAGGAACACCGGCGGCGAAGGCGGCCCUCUGGAUCGUUGCUGACGCUGAGACGCGAAAGCGUGGGGAGCAAACAGGAUUAGAUACCCUGGUAGUCCACGCCUUAAACGAUGGGUACUAGGUGUUCGGGGUGUUGACCCCCUGAGUGCCGCAGUUAACGCAUUAAGUACCCCGCCUGGGGACUACGGCCGCAAGGUUAAA
rnacentral:rRNA from 1 species